rfam:Flavobacterium sp. KMS contig057, whole genome shotgun sequence.
CAAUAAGCAAAAUAAGGGCGUAUGGGGGAUGCCUUGGCUCUCAGAGGCGAUGAAAGGCGUGAUAAGCUGCGAAAAGUUACGGGGAUCGGCACACACGACUUGAUCCGUAAAUACCUGAAUGGGGCAACCCACUAUGUUGAAGACAUAGUACACCGAUAGGUGGGCAAACCCGCUGAACUGAAACAUCUAAGUAGGCGGAGGAGAAGAAAACAAAAGUGAUUCCGUAAGUAGUGGCGAGCGAACGCGGAUUAGCCCAAACCAAUGUUGUUACGGCAAUGUUGGGGUUGUAGGACCACGACAUUUCUUGCACAAAGAAUUAGAAUCUACUGGAAAGUAGAACCACAGAGGGUGAUAGUCCCGUAUAGGUAAUGAGUGUAAAGGAUAGUGGUAUCCUGAGUAGGGCGGGGCACGUGAAACCCUGUCUGAAUUUGGCGGGACCAUCCGCUAAGGCUAAAUACUCCUGAGAGACCGAUAGUGAACCAGUACCGUGAGGGAAAGGUGAAAAGAACCGUGAAUAACGGAGUGAAAUAGAUCCUGAAACCAUACGCUUACAAGCGGUCGGAGCCCUUUCGUGGGGUGACGGCGUGCCUUUUGCAUAAUGAGCCUACGAGUUAACGUUGCUGGCAAGGAUAAGUGGUUAAGCCACGGAUCCGUAGCGAAAGCGAGUCUGAAUAGGGCGCUUUAGUCAGUAGUGUUAGACGCGAAACCGUGUGAUCUACCCAUGGGCAGGUUGAAGCUGUGGUAACACACAGUGGAGGACCGAACCGGUUGACGUUGAAAAGUCUUCGGAUGACCUGUGGGUAGGGGUGAAAGGCCAAUCAAACUCGGAAAUAGCUCGUACUCCCCGAAAUGCAUUUAGGUGCAGCGUUGUGCAUAAAGUUAUAUAGAGGUAGAGCUACUGAUUGGAUGCGGGGGCUUCACCGCCUACCAAUUCCUGACAAACUCCGAAUGCUAUAUAAUGUUUCACAACAGUGAGGGCUUGGGUGCUAAGGUCCAAGUCCGAGAGGGAAAGAACCCAGACCAUCAGCUAAGGUCCCCAAAUAUAUGUUAAGUUGAAAGAACGAGGUUUGUCUGCCCAGACAGCUAGGAUGUUGGCUUGGAAGCAGCCAUUCAUUUAAAGAGUGCGUAACAGCUCACUAGUCGAGCGGACGAGCAUGGAUAAUAAUCGGGCAUAAACAUAUUACCGAAGCUAUGGAUUUU